ACUGUAAAAAAAAAAAUAUCAGUAUAUUUGUGCAAAGAGUCACCUCUUUGAACAAAUAUACUGAUACUCUUUUUUUCAGUAGU
rnacentral:sRNA from 1 species